GACGUAGGAGGCGAGCGUUGUCCGGAUUCAUUGGGCGUAAAGAGCGCGCAGGCGGCUUGGUAAGUCGGAUGUGAAAUCCCGAGGCUCAACCUCGGACGUGCAUCCGAUACUGCUCGGCUAGAGGUAGGUAGGGGAGAUCGGAAUUCCUGGUGUAGCGGUGAAAUGCGCAGAUAUCAGGAGGAACACCGGUGGCGAAGGCGGUUCUCUGGGCAUUACCUGACGCUGAGGAGCGAAAGUGUGGGGAGCGAACAGG
rnacentral:rRNA from 1 species